CGGGAAGUAGCUCAGCUUGUAGAGCACUUGGUUUGGGACCAAGGGGUCGCAGGUUCGAAUCCUGUCUUCCCGA
rnacentral:tRNA from 1 species